GUAAAGCGAAGUGCCUGCUUCCGCCCGUGCACACUCCCUGCGCUACCCUCCAUGAUGCUGGGGAUGGCCAUUCAUGCUCCAUGCACUUAGAACACUGUCGGGCUGGACUGGCUGUUGGCGAAUGGCUGAAAGCAGGCCUGGUUGGGCACUGGAUCCUUGUCCCACGUCUCUUGCAUAAGAAGGACACACAUACAUCACGGAAGAAGGCAAGCGAGCAGGUCAUCUGUCUUGGGGGGACCGAUUGUCCACGUGCCCAGGAAAAGAACUUUCUACUUUACUGUAUCGCCUCAAAGUCUCCAAUACGCACGUUAAAAUCAGGAAACAAACGGAAAUUUCGGCAUAGAGCCCAAGUUAUAAAUCUGCUAGACUCUCUCAGGGGUCUGAGAGGCCACAGUGAUCUUCAUAACAAUACUGAGACAUCGUUUGCCUUUUCAUUUCGUGCCUAUGGCGGGGAGCAUUGCUGGCGCCCUAGCACCAAGCGGGAGCAGCUCCAGCUGGACCAGCGCGCACGGUGGCCCUCACUGCCGCGCAUGCGCAGGAAGAGCAGACGCCGCUCACUUAAGAGCGCGCUUCACGUGGUCUGCGCGUGCGCCUGGAAUAUGAUUCAGCCUUCCCAAGGAAGGAGAUUCUGCCACAUGCUGCAACAUGGGUGAACCUUGGAGACAGUAUGUCAAGUAAAAUGUCAGUCAUAAACAAGACGCGCUGUAUGAUUCCACUUAUGUGAAGCACUCAGAAUAGUCAAAUAGGUAGAAACAGAAAGUAGAAUGAUUGCCAGGGGCUGAGGGUUGGGGGAAAUGGGGAGUUAGUGUUUACGGAGUUCUGGAGAUGGAUGGUGUGAUAGCUGCACAACAAUGUGAAUGCACUUAAUGCCGCUGAACUGCACACUUAUAAAUGGUUAAAAUGGUAAAUUUUGUGUUAUGUGCAUUUUACCACUAUUGAAAAUAAAUAUAUACAUACGUACUUACA
rnacentral:lncRNA from 1 species